GAUCCUGGCUCAGGAUGAACGCUAGCUACAGGCUUAACACAUGCAAGUCGAGGGGCAUCAGGGUGUAGCAAUACACCGCUGGCGACCGGCGCACGGGUGAGUAACACGUAUCCAACCUGCCCUUUACUCGGGGAUAGCCUUUCGAAAGAAAGAUUAAUACCCGAUGGCAUAACAUGACCUCCUGGUUUUGUUAUUAAAGAAUUUCGGUAGAGGAUGGGGAGUGCGUUCCAUUAGGCAGUUGGCGGGGUAACGGCCC
rnacentral:rRNA from 1 species